rnacentral:lncRNA from 1 species
CCUGAGUAUACACACCAAACGUUUUCCCUUCAAAUGCUAGAAAAUUUAAAGUUCGCUUUUUUAUAUUUUUAUCAAAUUUAUUUUUGAGUUUCCGCAAAUCAGUACAUAACGCACGUACACCAUCAGACUGCUUGUUAAUGAGAGAAAAAGUUUAUGAUUGGCCAAUCCCUAACCAUAAAUAAUCAAUCGAUGAUGUACUAAUGAUGUGGUUGUAAAAUAUAAAAAACUUCAUGUUAUAGCAAUACGUUUAAAUUAUCCAUAGUUG